UGCAAGUCGAGCGGAGAGAGGUAGCUUGCUACUGAUCUUAGCGGCGGACGGGUGAGUAAUGCUUAGGAAUCUGCCUAUUAGUGGGGGACAACAUCUCGAAAGGGAUGCUAAUACCGCAUACGUCCUACGGGAGAAAGCAGGGGAUCUUCGGACCUUGCGCUAAUAGAUGAGCCUAAGUCGGAUUAGCUAGUUGGUGGGGUAAAGGCCUACCAAGGCGACGAUCUGUAGCGGGUCUGAGAGGAUGAUCCGCCACACUGGGACUGAGACACGGCCCAGACUCCUACGGGAGGCAGCAGUGGGGAAUAUUGGACAAUGGGGGGAACCCUGAUCCAGCCAUGCCGCGUGUGUGAAGAAGGCCUUAUGGUUGUAAAGCACUUUAAGCGAGGAGGAGGCUACUUUAGUUAAUACCUAGAGAUAGUGGACGUUACUCGCAGAAUAAGCACCGGCUAACUCUGUGCCAGCAGCCGCGGUAAU
rnacentral:rRNA from 1 species